UCAAUGAUACAUGAUGAUAUAUACGAUGCCUCAAUCAGCCAUGUCCCAACAUUAAAAGCAAUCAUGUGGCAGUUCCACCUGCAUAUGUCUAUGAAAGCUGGGCAAUUAUUUAAUGCAUUGUUGGAUAGCGAAAGGGAACAUAAGAAUUUAAAGAAAAGAGACUUUCCUACUAACCACCAAAAUUUAAUGUGGUGGCCAUCUCACAACUGCUUUCAUUUGCUGGAAAUUUACAAUAUCAACGGUUUCACUUUCCCAACAAUAUAUAUGAUCACUCAUUUAGUUGCAGAAUACAGAGUCACAAGAAGAAAAGAAAAGAAAGAAAGAGAUGGAUACUGUUAGUGCACCACAACCACCACCCCAGCAAAAGAUGUCAUAUACUGAUCUUGUCAAGAAACGACAAGAGGAAAAAGGGUGUCUCUCUGCCUGGCUGUUUGUGCUGUCCUGUGGUUGUUGCUGUGAGUGUUGUUGUUGCUGCUCCGGUAAAGCCUGCUGUUGCUGUCAUUAAGAUAUAUUUACUUCUAGCUAUCACAGCUGUAAGAACAUAGGUUUUUUUAUUCCUGGAAUAAGGUUGUAUUGAUUUGAUUUUAUUCUUUAAUGAGAUGUCAAAUAACAAAACAUGAUAUCAAAAUUUAAGUAAUUUAUA